CACGUCGUCGUCUCUCUUCUCUUCACUACAGGAAAGGUGGUAUCCUCCGACGAUGCACCGUGCAUGCAGUCGCUAGAAUGGAUUGUGCCAUGUGUCUGUGGUCACAGCUCUUUUAUGCAGUUUGUGGCGGGAAAACAUGGUACAGUCCCAGCAAAGGCGGGAAACAGUCUGAGAUAUAAAAAUAGCCUACACGCCAUCCUUACUCAAUCUGAGGUGCCAAUGAAGUCAAGAGGGGCUUUGCUGGAGUCCGCAUGGGGAGGACUGAGGAGCAGAUAAAAGAAUGGAAUGGAAGUGGAAAGAGCCCCGGAGCCAACCAUAUCAUUGGAGCUGACAGACUCUGGAGUUUCAAGCUGGGAAAGCUGUUGUGAGGACAGGCCUGUGCUCUGCUGUGGGCCUCAUUCAGGAGGAGAAGGAUGGGUAUUCAUCAGUUCUGCCAGUCAUUCUGCAGCUUUGAUCAAGGGACCAUUUAGGGGGGGAAAAAAGCACAUUUCAUGUCUGAAUGUUUUGCUGGUGGCUUUUUUUUUUUUCUUUUUAAGUUAGAAAUUUCAUAGUUCCGAGUGAAAUGUUCUCUGUUC